AUUGAACGCUGGCGGCAUGCCUUACACAUGCAAGUCGAACGGUAACAGGCCGCAAGGUGCUGACGAGUGGCGAACGGGUGAGUAAUGCAUCGGAACGUGCCCGGUCGUGGGGGAUAACUGCUCGAAAGAGCAGCUAAUACCGCAUACGACCUGAGGGUGAAAGCGGGGGACCGUAAGGCCUCGCGCGAUUGGAGCGGCCGAUGUCAGAUUAGCUAGUUGGUGGGGUAAAGGCCUACCAAGGCAACGAUCUGUAGUUGGUCUGAAAGGACGACCAGCCACACUGGGACUGAGACACGGCCCAGACUCCUACGGGAGGCAGCAGUGGGGAAUUUUGGACAAUGGGCGCAAGCCUGAUCCAGCAAUGCCGCGUGCAGGAAGAAGGCCUUCGGGUUGUAAACUGCUUUUGUCAGGGAAGAAAUCUUCUGGGCUAAUACCCCGGGAGGAUGACGGUACCUGAAGAAUAAGCACCGGCUAACUACGUGCCAGCAGCCGCCGUAAGAC
rnacentral:rRNA from 1 species